rnacentral:rRNA from 1 species
AGAGUUUGAUCGUGGCUCAGGACGAACGCUGGCGGCGUGCUUAACACAUGCAAGUCGAACGAUGAAGCCCUUCGGGGUGGAUUAGUGGCGAACGGGUGAGUAACACGUGGGCAAUCUGCCCUUCACUCUGGGACAAGCCCUGGAAACGGGGUCUAAUACCGGAUAAUACUCCUGCCUGCAUGGGUGGGGGUUGAAAGCUCCGGCGGUGAAGGAUGAGCCCGCGGCCUAUCAGCUUGUUGGUGGGGUAAUGGCCCACCAAGGCGACGACGGGUAGCCGGCCUGAGAGGGCGACCGGCCACACUGGGACUGAGACACGGCCCAGACUCCUACGGGAGGCAGCAGUGGGGAAUAUUGCACAAUGGGCGAAAGCCUGAUGCAGCGACGCCGCGUGAGGGAUGUCGGCCUUCGGGUUGUAAACCUCUUUCAGCAGGGAAGAAGCGAAAGUGACGUACCUGCAG